UACGUAUGGUGCAAGCGUUAUCCGGAUUUACUGGGCGUAAAGGGAGCGCAGGCGGCGCGCCAAGUCUGAUGUGAAACCCCGGGGCUCAACCCCGGGCAUGCAUUGGAAACUGGCGAGCUGGAGUGCCGGAGAGGUAAGCGGAAUUCCUAGUGUAGCGGUGAAAUGCGUAGAUAUUAGGAGGAACACCAGUGGCGAAGGCGGCUUACUGGACGGCAACUGACGCUGAGGCUCGAAAGCGUGGGGAGCAAACAGG
rnacentral:rRNA from 1 species